GAUGAAGACGUAGCGAAAUGCGAUAAGUAAUGUGAAUUGCAGAAUUCAGUGAAUCAUCGAAUCUUUGAACGCACCUUGCACCCUUUGGCAUUCCGAAGGGUAUGCUCGUUUGAGUGUCAUUGUACUCUCACACUUCCAAUCUUUGGAUUGGGAGCAGUGGACUUGGGUGUUGCUGCUUACUGUGGCUCACCUCAAAUCGAUUCGUGCACCUCUUGGUUGGACAUAGUACGGCGUGAUAAGUGUCUUCGCCGGCACCUCAGUAGAGGGUGGCUGAUCAGGAGCUCUGUGCUUCAAACCGUCCUCGGACAACAACUGACAACUUGACCUCAAAUCGAGUAGGACUACCCGCUGAACUUAAGCAUAUCAAUAAGCGGAGGA
rnacentral:misc_RNA from 1 species